rnacentral:lncRNA from 1 species
AAUCUUUACAUUAAAGUUAUACCUUACAUUACAUGAACCAAUGUUAAUUAUUAAUAUAAUUUAACAAUAUAAACCAAACUGUAUUACACAUAUAACAGAUACCAACAACAUCAGCACCUUGAUCCACUUUUGAACAAUGAAAAAUGAUUUUUGUAAAUUCCCCAUCAUUUUCCUAAUAUUAUCCAUGUCUUCAUUGUUCACCACAGUUUCUUUGUUUCCUUCAUUAUUGAAGAAGCUACCCCAUUCGUCACCACCAAUAUCAUUGCACCAUUUGAAGAAGUUGCAGCCACUUUCUUCAACACCAUUCUGUAAAGACAACAUUCAACUUAAUUAGGGAGUACCACAACUUAAUUAGGUUUAGUUGAAUCAAACAUACCUUAUACUUGGAGCAUCCCCAAAAUUGCUUGCCCCGAUUCUUCGUAGUUUUCGCAGUUCUCACAACACAACUCUCACCACAGUAGCAGAUCGGUGAAGACGUACCAUUUUGCUUCCGCCUGGCGCUGCAACUUGAUGAAUAGCAAGAGUGAUCCUUGGACAUUGUGGAAGAACACCCACCCGCGUCGUUGAACUACAACCUCCACCAACACAGCCAAGAACCCUAUUUUUUCUAAUUUCCCCUAUUUCGCAUAUUUCCCCUCUUUUACAGCACUACCUGACC